rnacentral:rRNA from 1 species
UACGAAGGGGGCUAGCGUUGCUCGGAAUGACUGGGCGUAAAGGGCGCGUAGGCGGAUGGCAUAGUCAGAUGUGAAAUUCCCGGGCUUAACCUGGGGACUGCAUUUGAUACGUGUCGUCUUGAGUUCGGAAGAGGGUCGUGGAAUUCCCAGUGUAGAGGUGAAAUUCGUAGAUAUCGGGAGGAACACCGGUGGCGAAGGCGGGUCUCUGGGCCGUAACUGACGCUGAGGAGCGAAAGCGUGGGGAGCGAACAGG